rnacentral:rRNA from 1 species
UACAGAGGGGGCAAGCGUUGUUCGGAAUUACUGGGCGUAAAGGGCGCGUAGGCGGCCUGCUAAGUCGAACGUGAAAUCCCUGGGCUCAACCCAGGAACUGCGUCCGAUACUGGUUGGCUUGAAUCCGGGAGAGGGAUGUGGAAUUCCAGGUGUAGCGGUGAAAUGCGUAGAUAUGUGGAGGAACACCAGUGGCGAAGGCGGCUCUCUGGUCUGUAACUGACGCUGAGGCGCGAAAGCGUGGGGAGCAAACAGG